GGGAAAGCCAGACGGAGGGGCAAGGGCUAGGUGCAGGGGGGUACUGACUAGCAUCCCAACUCUGCUCCCUACGCUUCUUUCCGUAUACCAAGGGAGGAGGAGGAGCCCCUGCCUCGUUGCGUUGUGGCAGACGAGGUCUCACUAUGAUGUUGCCCAGUCUGGUCUUGAACUCGUGGCCUCAAGCGAUCCUCCUUUCUCGACCUUCCAAAGUGCUGGGAUUACAGCGGUGAGCCACUGCACCCGGCCACUUUCUUGCUCUUUUGUUUUUUUUUUUGUUAUUUGCUUGUUUGUUUGUCUUUUAUUCACUGCAGUGGAUAAUGUUGGCACAUAGUAGUUGCUCAGUGAGUUCUCGUUGAAUGAAUGCGUGCAAUUGCAUUUUUAAUUUAUAUCUGCCGGGCCCUAUCUCGUCUGCUCCUGAUGCAAAUUGCCUUGUACAUUAU
rnacentral:lncRNA from 10 species